GGGGCAAGCGUUAUCCGGAUUUACUGGGUGUAAAGGGAGCGUAGACGGCAUUGCAAGUCUGAUGUGAAAGAUUGGGGCUCAACCCCAGGCCUGCAUUGGAAACUGUAAAGCUGGAGUACAGGAGAGGUAAGCGGAAUUCCUAGUGUAGCGGUGAAAUGCGUAGAUAUUAGGAGGAACACCAGUGGCGAAGGCGGCUUACUGGACUGUAACUGACGCUGAGGUUCGAAAGCGUGGGUAGCGAACA
rnacentral:rRNA from 1 species